rnacentral:rRNA from 1 species
GCUUGUCUCAAAGAUUAAGCCAUGCAAAGGAACGUUCAACCCCAUUUGGGGAAGACGCUGGCCGGCUCAUUAAAUCAGUCAUAGUUCAUUCGACAGAUCACUCUACAUGGAUAACCGUGGUAAUUCUAGAGCUAAUACAUGCUAUCAAGCCCGACUUCUUGAAGGGUUGUAUUUAUUAGACUUAAGCCAAUAUUCCUUGUGUCUAUUGCGAUGAUUCAUAAUAACUGAUCGAAUCUCAAAUUUGAGAUAAAUCAUUCAAGUUUCUGCCCUAUCAGCUUUCGAUGGUAGUGUAUUGGACUACCAUGGCAGUAACGGGUAACGAAGAAUUAGGGUUCGAUUUCGGAGAGGGAGCAUGAGAAACGGCUACCACAUCUAAGGAAGGCAGCAGG